AUAAAAAAAUGAUAAAAUUAAUAAAUUAUAUUUAUAAUAGCAGUAAAAAUUGAGAAUUAAAAUAUCAUAUGUCUCAUAAUUCGAAUCGGAAUUAUAUUUAAUUAAAGUAUGAGCUCUAAAAUAUCACAUGCCUUAUAGUUUGAAUAAAAAACAAAAUUCAUUAAAAUUCCAGUACCAGAAUGUCACACGUCUUAUAAUUUGAAGACCAAAAGUAUAAUUUACCCUUUUAUAUUUUAAUUUUAUUUCAUAUAAAGAGAGAGUUGAGUAUCGGUCAGUUUUGUUCAAUCAGUAAUUUUAUUCGAGUAAAGAAUAAGUUAAACUAUUUAAUAAAUUUUAAAAUACCUAUUUGUUAAAAUUAAAAGUUGACCAAUCAUAUUUUAGAUAUUUCAAAAUAUUUUAAAUGUGAAAUUGAUCGCUCAUAAACUAUAAAUAUAGUAUUAAAGUAUUAAAGUUUGAUAUUAAAUCAAAAUAAAAAUAUAUAGAAUGUUUUGAACCACGAACUAUUUUGAAUCAGCUAUCUAACUUUUCAAAAUUUUAUUUUUACUAUUUGACAUUUUUAUAUAUUAGAUUUGAAUCGGUUAAUGAUAAUUUGACUUCAAAUUUGAUGAAUCGUUUAGCUUUACAGAUUUAGCUAGUAUAUUUCAUAUAAUUUUUGCAACUAAAUUUAUUAAACUAAAUAAUUAAGUUAAACUCCAUCAAUAUUUUUUUAUUUUUUAUUAUACAAUUUAUAUCUAAUUAAUUAAUAUUAUUAAAAUNUAUAUAUAUUAAAUAUAAAUUUUAUUUUAAUAAUAUUAAUUAAUUAGAUAUAAAUUGUAUAAUAAAAAAUAAAAAAAUAUUGAUGAAUCGUUUAGCUUUACAGAUUUAGCUAGUAUAUUUCAUAUAAUUUUUGCAACUAAAUUUAUUAAACUAAAUAAUUAAGUUAAACUCCAUCAAUAUUUUUUUAUUUUUUAUUAUACAAUUUAUAUCUAAUUAAUUAAUAUUAUUAAAAUAAAAUUUAUAUUUAAUAUAUAUAUUUUAAACUAUUUUAAAAAUUAUGUAUAAAUAAUUAUAUAUUUUAACAUUUUAUAAUAAAAAAGAAAAAAAAAUAAAUUGAGCCCCCGAGGGGCCCAC
rnacentral:lncRNA from 1 species